rnacentral:rRNA from 1 species
AGUGAACGCUGGCGGUAGGCCUAACACAUGCAAGUCGAACGGCAGCACAGUAAGAGCUUGCUCUUACGGGUGGCGAGUGGCGGACGGGUGAGGAAUACAUCGGAAUCUACUUUUUCGUGGGGGAUAACGUAGGGAAACUUACGCUAAUACCGCAUACGACCUACGGGUGAAAGCAGGGGAUCUUCGGACCUUGCGCGAUUGAAUGAGCCGAUGUCGGAUUAGCUAGUUGGCGGGGUAAAGGCCCACCAAGGCGACGAUCCGUAGCUGGUCUGAGAGGAUGAUCAGCCACAGUGGAACUGAGACACGGUCCCGACUCCUACGGGAGGCAGCAGUGGGGAAUAUUGGACAAUGGGCGCAAGCCUUAUCCAGCCAUACCGCGUGAGUGAAGAAGGCCUUCGGGUUGUAAAGCCCUUUUGUUGGGAAAGAAAAGCAGCAGGUUAAUACCCCGCUGUUCUGACGGUACCCAAAGAAUAAGCACCGGCUAACUUCGUG